rnacentral:rRNA from 1 species
AGAGCGAACGCUGGCGGCAUGCUUAACACAUGCAAGUCGCACGGGCAGGGGCAACCCUGUCAGUGGCGGACGGGUGAGUAACGCGUAGGUAUCUAUCCUUGGGUGGGGGACAACCGUGGGAAACUACGGCUAAUACCGCAUGAUGACUGAGGUCCAAAGCCCGCGAGGGUGCCUGGGGAGGAGCCUGCGUACGAUUAGCUAGUUGGUGGGGUAAAGGCCUACCAAGGCUGUGAUCGUUAGCUGGUCUGAGAGGAUGAUCAGCCACAUUGGGACUGAGACACGGCCCAAACUCCUACGGGAGGCAGCAGUGGGGAAUAUUGGACAAUGGGCGCAAGCCUGAUCCAGCAAUGCCGCGUGUGUGAAGAAGGUCUUCGGAUUGUAAAGCACUUUCGACGGGGACGAUGAUGACGGUACCGUAGAAGAACGCCCCGGCUAACUUCGUGCCAGCAGCCGC